rnacentral:rRNA from 1 species
AACGAACGCUGGCGGCAGGCUUAACACAUGCAAGUCGAGCGCCUCGCAAGAGGAGCGGCAGACGGGUGAGUAACGCGUGGGAACGUACCCUUAUCUUCGGAAUAGCUCUGGGAAACUGGAAGUAAUACCGAAUGUGCCCUUAGGGGGAAAGAUUUAUCGGAUAAGGAUCGGCCCGCGUUGGGUUAGCUAGUUGGUGGGGUAAAGGCCUACCAAGGCGACGAUCCAUAGCUGGUCUGAGAGGAUGAUCAGCCACAUUGGGACUGAGACACGGCCCAAACUCCCACGGGGGGCGGGAGGGGGGAAUAUUGGAAAAGGGGCGAAAGCCUGACCCAGCCAGGCCGGGGGAGUGAUGAAGGCCUUAGGGUUGUAAAGCUCUUUCACCGGAGAAGAUAAUGAGGGUAUCCGGAGAAGAAGCCCCGGCUAAUUUCGU